rnacentral:antisense_RNA from 1 species
ACUAUGAGCCGUGAUAAACACAUUACUCCCUUCUUUAACAAAAAAGAGCAUGGUUAACUCCAAAGACUUCUCUAGACCAGCCUGGAUGGUACUUAAACUUUAAUCAACCAAUGCUCAAGUAAAAGAGCAGUAUCCAGCCCCAGCACACCUAACUGUUUUGCAUAACAUAGUGCUCCUGACUGGAGAGCCCAGGCUGAGAUGGUGUUAAAUGCUUUUACCACGUGGGCUCCUGGCACCAACUGAGCAAGAUCCCACCCCACAGGCCUUGGAAGCCUGAGGCAGUAUUCUUCUGGGAUAUUUCCAACUAGGCUUCCCAUGAGCAUGUUAGAGCCAGCCUAGCUGGUGAAUUUUACUUCUGUCACCUCUCAGAGGGAAGAGGUCUGAGAGGCUCAGGCCUCUUCCAGCUUUUGAGGAUUCCAGCAUAGUAGAAACAUAAAAAGGUCCAAAGAGAAUUACAAAAAUCAUCUAAGUUCUUAUACUUAACACGUCAAUGCUUACUAAAAAAAUCAAUCAAUCAAACUUUUGUUUGAAAUAAUUAUAGAUUCCAAGGAAGUUGUAAAGAUAGUACAGGAGGUCCCUGUGCAUCUUUCACCCAGUUUCCUCCAGUUUUAUGCCACUAGAGUACAAUAUCCAAACCAGGACAUUGACAUUGGAGCCAUAUGCAUGUAUAUUUCCAUGUCAUUUUAUUUCAUGUGUAUGCUCAUGUACCCAUCACUUCAGUCAGGUUAGAGACUAGACCAUCCCUCAUGCUGCCUUCCUCACUACCAACCCUAACCCCUGGAGGUCAUUAAUCUGUUCUUUAUCACUACAAUUUGGUCAUUUUGAGAAUGAAUAAAAUCACACAGUAAUAUAAGCCUUUUCAGACUGGCAUUUUUUCACUCAGCAUAACAUCCUUAAGAUCCAUCAAUAAUUUUUCCAUUUUAUUGCUGAGUGGUAUUCUACAGUAUAGAUAUACUAAAGUUUAACUCUUCAUCUAAGGUAGGAUAUUUUGGUUGUUUCCAGUUUUGACUAUUACAAAUAAAGCUUCCAUGAGUAUUCACCUACA